rnacentral:lncRNA from 1 species
UACCCCCAAAGCCCGAACCUGCAUCUCCUCUGCGAGGCGCAGGGCGGGAGGACCGCUGCAGUUGGGAGCCGGCUCCGGACAGGCAAAGCGACCCGACAGGUAACCUUCCACAGGCCCACACAUGUGUUAUCAGCCAUACCUUAGGACAGAAGGAAUGAGUUUGCAGAAAGGAUGCUCUUCAGAACUCAUGAAGACAUAAGGUGCUUCAAAAGAGGAGACUUUCGGAACAUGAGCAGGGAAAUUGUCACUUGAUAGAUGACAAGCAUUGUGAGAAACAACAGUUUGCCUUUCUUCAUUCCCUUCCUGGUUAUCUUUCCUGUCACAUGAAGAAGAAAUGAAACACCAGAGAGAAUCAGGUUAUCAUCAUCUACACCAGCCACUGUCACUGGCCUUCAAAGUUCAACCUCCCUGGAACUCCAGAACUCCCCACUUUAUAAGAUGAAUGGCUAAUUGGAUCCUAGUACAUAAGGAAACACUGGCAAAAUAGCGCCCUACAACCAUACUGAGAAUUUAGCCCUGGGGACAUCUUCCGAUAUAAUCUGGCAUAGAAGAGUGGUUAUCACACCUUUAGCAUGGAUAGAAAUGCAAAACAAUAUUUGUAAUAGUCUGUGCUCACGCUGCUAUAAGGACAUACCCAAGACUAGGAAAGAGCCACAGAUUUGCUUCUUCCUAGCAAGGGCGUGAUACUAAUUCCAGAUCCAUCCAAAUAUUGUUCACUGCUUCUUAGACAGAGACCCCUUUCUCCCAGGACCCUUGAGACACCUUUGCUGUGAAUAAUGGAGAAGCAAAAGGAGUUACUAAUGAAGACAAACUAAACCUGAGAACAGAGAGAGCCUAACUAUGUGCUCCAGAAGUGCCAUGUGUGUCUAAGGUAGGUCCAAAGGUAUGAGUCUAGAGAUAUUAUGUAUAAAACACCUAAUUGAAUGUCAAAAAAUCCAUAGAAGCUUAAUAAUUGGUAGCAAUUAUUAUUACUCAUUAGUGUGGGGGCUGGGAAGAUGACAACAGAGUAUAACUUGGAGGGUUGGUGUAGAGCAAUUAGCUAGCAACUGUAGUUUGAAUUUCCAUGAAGUAGUUCCCUUAAUUGUGUACACACAAACACAUCAAAACUGAAACCACAGCUAUGUGAUUUAAUAAUGUUGCACGUUUAGACAUGAUACAAGGCACUUUUGCCUACAUUAUCUUUCUGUGAGUUUAACAUUAGACCUGGUAUAAUUAUCCUAAAUUUACUACUAGAGAAUUUAGUUUGAAAAGUCAUGCAACUUUUCUAAAGAAUUUUUUCUGAUUUAAUAACACCAAUCAAUGAAUUAAUCAAUCAACUGUUCUGGCCAUUAAAUGUGUGAGAAAAAAAAGUCAGUGUAUUAAUUAUAAUUAUAUACCGAGACUUGGCUCUGUGUGUUUCACAAAAUAAGUAUAAAGUAUCAAAUUUGUUAUAAAUGUGUGACCCAUUAAAAGAAAAAAAAACUUGAUAGAUGUGUAUUUGGUAACAGCUUUUUAGAAAAUUUUUUGAACAUUUAUGAUGUUCAGAAAAGAACAGUGAUCAGUGUGCUAAAUUAAAUUACUUGAAUAAAUUAUGGAGAAAAAGUUCUGAUUUUUGUGCAAGGUUUGCAUUCUGGAUUGAGGUCCAGUUCUUUUUGAAGUAUCUGAAAUCAAACAUAUAUUUCCAAACCCUGAGGACUGAUUUCCUUCUGAAGACCACCCUCUCUUCUAUUUGAGGAACUCCAUAUUCCUUCUUGUAACACUACUCUGAUUCUAUAUCAAGCAAUCUUGGCCUUGUUAAGAUAAGAAAGUUGCCUUAAGCACUUUCCAAAGCUUUCCUACAUUCACUGUUGGUGGAUGGUGUCCCUACCCUACUUGUUCCCCUGCAGAACCUCAGAUUGGAGAUAUAAGGGGUGAAAUAACAGCCAAGUACCUCAGAGCUAAGUACUUUACAUAUAACUCAUUUAAUCCUCACAGCAUUGCUAUGGAACAAGUACUAUUAUUCAUCCCAGUUUACAGAUAGAAACUAAGGCAGAGAAAGGUUAAAUAAUCAAAGUUUACCUACUAGAUAACAGAGUGGGGGUAGAAACCAAGCCAUUCUGGCUUUUCCUGCUUGUAACACCAGGGUGGUAAAGGUGAAAAUUUGGGUUCAUUCUCACAGAGAAGAGGUUAUUAAGGCUCAGACUGGACAGAUAGCAUGGGAAUGAUGAGCAAGCAGGAAAUUUAAGAGUCAGAUCUUAGAAAAAUAUGACAAAGCCUAGAGACUGGCAACUGACAUGAUCUGAGAAAAGUGAGGAGGCCAGUGUUCCUUGUUUGGAAACAGGAGGAAUAAUGGGACCACUGGUUGAAAUGGAGUGCAAAUGUCUUAUAAGAAAAGGAAAAAAAUGACACCAACUUGACCCUCAAGUAUAUUUUGAGUAUAUUCUAUUUCUCUUUUCAUUAGAAGAAAUUUAAUUUGAGAAAUGAAUAGAGAAAGAAAGGGGAAAGGAGAAUGUUUCAAAGAAUAAGGUUAAAGUCAUCACAGCUUGACAGCAAUCUAAAAGUCAAAAAGUAUGCCAGAAUAGCAGGUAUUUGAGACCCACUGUUCGAAACAAUUUUAUUUUAAACACAUGUGGUUCCUUAAUGAUACUGGUAGCAUGGUGGUUGUGCAGCCCGCCUUUAGCAGGAAGUGCUGAUUUGCUUAAUUCUAUUAAGCCUAUAAGAAAGGUAAAUCUGUCUCCUGAACUUAAGGGGCCUCUGCUCUAAAGUAAGUUUGACAUUGGCCAAUAAUCACCCUGACAUUCUUGUGGCUUUGGCUGCUCUUGAAGCUGCUGAAUUGCACCAAGAGAAGAGGCUGAGUGAGAAAGCCUGGUUAUAGCAAUGGCCCAUCCUGUCAGUGCUGGGAGUGGGUACUAUACUCAAAGCAGUAUAAAUACAGAUGCUGCACAUUAUGCUCUGCUAUGCUGGCUGCCUUUGGGAUGAUUGUUGGGAAAGUUCUUGAAGCCAGUGGUGUUAGAGGGGACAGUGUGCUUCUUGAAACAAAAGAGUUGAUGGUGAGAAUGGUCUUUGAAAACUGUACUCUUUACAAAGGUGAACUCUGCAAACUGGGCCUACUGAAAGAAAUAGGGAUUCUAUUUUCAUUACUGUUUUAUCAUCAAAAUACCAUAAGGCCUGGCCCUUAGCAAAUAGUCCUUAAAUAUCUGAUACCAUUAGAAGCUUGCUUCUAUGAAGGGUGAUCACCCAUCCCAGUUUGCGUGGGACAGUCUUAGUUUACAUUAUUGUCCUUGCAUCCUGUUCAGCUGGUAUAUAUCCAAGUCUCUUAAUUUUUAUUCAAGUAUUAUUAUUAAUAGUUGUACAAAAAUAAGUCAGAAUAAGUUUGGUAGACCUCUACUUUAUUUCCAGCUUCUGUCAUUUUCUUCCUGGUAGUAGGUAUGAGACAUAUAUACAUGGAAAGAUAAUCAGCAGUAGCCUAUCUCUCUCCCUUUAAUUUUUUAAAGAACUUUCCAGAUUCAAGAAUGGACAAGGCACUCAGUUAUGAGCAACAAAUUCCUUUUGUCUUGGAGAUCAUGGAAGAAGUAUUAGAUGCUGCUCCCCUUAGUGUAACAGCCAGUUUUGUUGCAGCCUGUGGGGCCUGCAAGCUACACAAAACCACCAGGAUCCUAGAAGAGUCACUAGGAAACGUAGAGUAUUAUAGCUAGAUAAACAUCAUCACAUAUGUGUAAAAGAUAGAGACUGAACAGUCCAGUCUUAAAAUGUAUAGCAAAGUAGUUUGAAUGCUCUUGUUACAGUGAUUUUGUCAUCUACCAAUUUUAAGUGUGUAGUGAUUUAUCUAUCACAUUAUUUGGCAAUACUUUCUGAAUUUUGCAAUACAUGCAACAAUGACCUAAAAAAUGAAAGUGCAUGUUUAAUUUAAAAAUUAAAAGUAAAGCCAGGCGCAGUGGCUCACACCUGUAAUCCCAGCACUUUGGGAGGCUGAGGCGGGCGGAUUACCUGAGGUCGGGAGUUCAAGACCAGCCUGACCAACAUGGAGAAACCCUGUCUCUACUAAAAAUACAAAAUUGACUGGGCGUGGUGGUGCAUGCCUGUGGUCCCAGCUACUUGGGAGGCCGAAGCAGGAGAAUUGCUUGAACCUGGGAGGCGGAUGUUGCGGUGAGUGGAGAUCGCGCCAUUGCACUCCAGCCUGGGCAACAAGAGCAAAACUCUGUCUCAAAAAAAAAAAAAAAAA